GACGAACGCUGGCGGUGUGCUUAACACAUGCAAGUCGAACGGUAAGGCCCUUUCGGGGGUACACGAGUGGCGCACGGGUGCGUAACACGUGAGUAACCUGCCCUCAUCUCUGGGAUAACAGUCGGAAACGGUUGCUAAUACUGGAUAUGAGCCUGCAAGGCAUCUUGUGGGUUGGAAAGAUUUUUUGGUUGGGGAUGGACUCGCGGCCUAUCAGCUUGUUGGUGAGGUAGUGGCUCACCAAGGCUUCGACGGGUAGCCGGCCUGAGAGGGCGACCGGCCACAUUGGGACUGAGAUACGGCCCAAACUCCUACGGGAGGCAGCAGUGGGGAAUAUUGCACAAUGGACGGAAGUCUGAUGCAGCAACGCCGCGUGCGGGAUGACGGCCUUCGGGUUGUAAACCGCUUUCAAUUGUGACGAAGCUUUUUGUGACGGUAGCAGUAGAAGAAGCACCGGCUAACUACGUG
rnacentral:rRNA from 1 species